AAAUGUGCUUUAUAAGCUAGACACACAGGAAGCAAAGAAAAUCUACUGACUGACAAGAGCAAAUGAUACUGGAGGACACCAUGUAGGGGUGAAUGUGAGGAACAUAGAUCACAAGCGACAGGAGCCUAAAGACAUCUGCAACAAUGACACCAGCAUUGACCUCAGGGAAUCUUAAACUUGGUGAUGACAGCAGCAAUGGCAGGAAAUCUCUCAGGACACAGACAAGCUUUGGGUUCUCGGCUUUCACAGCAGAAAGCUAAAUUGGACUAGCAACCGAACUUAGGCAACAGGACCCUCACUGCCACAUUCAUUCCAGCUCUAGAUUUCCACAGGGAUGGUAUAAAUUUAAUCGAAAG